rnacentral:rRNA from 1 species
UACGUAGGGUGCGAGCGUUGUCCGGAAUUAUUGGGCUUAAAGGGCUCGUAGGCGGUCUGUUGCGUCGGGAGUGAAAACUCAGGGCUUAACCCUGAGCCUGCUUCCGAUACGGGCAGACUAGAGGUAUGCAGGGGAGAACGGAAUUCCUGGUGUAGCGGUGAAAUGCGCAGAUAUCAGGAGGAACACCGGUGGCGAAGGCGGUUCUCUGGGCAUUACCUGACGCUGAGGAGCGAAAGUGUGGGGAGCGAACAGG